GUGCCAGCCGCCGCGGUAAUACAGAGGUCUCGAGCGUUACGCGGAUUUACUAGGGCUUAAAGGGUGCGUAGGCGGGUUCGUAAGUGCUUUGUGAAAUCCCACGGCUUAACCGUGGAAUAGCUUGGCAUACUGCGAGCCUUGAGGUCGGUAGAGGUCGCUGGAACUCUAGGUGGAGCGGUGAAAUGCGUAGAUAUCUAGAGGAACGCCAAAGGUGAAGACAGGCGACUGGGCCGAUUCUGACGCUGAGGCACGAAAGCGUGGGUAGCGAACGGGAUUAGAUACCCCCGUAGUCC
rnacentral:rRNA from 1 species